AAAGUUGCAAAUCAAAGCAUACCUGUCAAGUUUUGGAUUUGAAAAUAAGGGAUAUUUUCCGGCGCCCACCGCGAGCAGUCCCACCACCCCAACCAAGCUCCAGUAUCCCUUACAUUUUAAGACAGGUGUACAAGAAAGCUAAAAUCACCACUUGAUGCAGAAUGCUGAAAACAUUUACAAUUUAUAAUAUUGCUUGU